CUACGCCUACAUGAAGCUGGAGUUACUAGUAAUCGCAGAUCAGAAUGCUGCGGUGAAUGCGUUCCCGGGUCUUGUACACACCGCCCGUCACACCACGGAAGUUGGGGGCGCCCGAAGCCACUUAGCUAACCCAUUUGGGAAGCGAGUGUCGAAGGUGAAAUCAAUAACUGGGGUGAAGUCGUAACAAGGUACC
rnacentral:rRNA from 1 species